rnacentral:rRNA from 1 species
GAGCGGAAAGGCCCUUCGGGGUACUCGAGCGGCGAACGGGUGAGUAACACGUGAGCAACCUGCCCCAGGCUUUGGGAUAACCCCGGGAAACCGGGGCUAAUACCGAAUAUGACCUCCGAUCGCAUGGUUGGUGGUGGAAAGUUUUUCGGCUUGGGAUGGGCUCGCGGCCUAUCAGCUUGUUGGUGGGGUGAUGGCCUACCAAGGCGACGACGGGUAGCCGGCCUGAGAGGGCGACCGGCCACACUGGGACUGAGACACGGCCCAGACUCCUACGGGAGGCAGCAGUGGGGAAUAUUGCACAAUGGGCGGAAGCCUGAUGCAGCGACGCCGCGUGAGGGAUGACGGCCUUCGGGUUGUAAACCUCUUUCAGCAGGGACGAAGCGUAAGUGACGGUACCUGCAGAAGAAGCGCCGGCCAACUACGUGCCAGCAGCCGCGGUAAGACGUAGGGCGCGAGCGUUGUCCGGAUUUAUUGGGCGUAAAGAGCUCGUAGGCGGCUUGUCGCGUCGACUGUGAAAACCCGCAGCUCAACUGCGGGCCUGCAGUCGAUACGGGCAGGCUAGAGUUCGGUAGGGGAGACUGGAAUUCCUGGUGUAGCGGUGAAAUGCGCAGAUAUCAGGAGGAACACCGGUGGCGAAGGCGGGUCUCUGGGCCGAUACUGACGCUGAGGA